rnacentral:rRNA from 1 species
GAGGAAUAUUGCGCAAUGGGGGCAACCCUGACGCAGCAACGCCGCGUGAGUGAGGAAGGUUUUCGGACCGUAAAGCUCUGUCGAGCGGGAAGAAAUGCAUGGUGGCUAAUAUCCAUCAUGCUUGACGGUACCGCUAAAGGAAGCACCGGCUAACUCCGUGCCAGCAGCCGCGGUAAUACGGGGGGUGCGAGCGUUGUUCGGAAUUAUUGGGCGUAAAGAGCGUGUAGGCGGCCGAAUAAGUCAGAUGUGAAAUCCCUGGGCUUAACCCAGGACGUGCAUUUGAAACUAUUCGGCUGGAGUAGGGGAGAGGAAAGUGGAAUUCCUGGUGUAGAGGUGAAAUUCGUAGAUAUCAGGAGGAACACCGGUGGCGAAGGCGACUUUCUGGCCCUAUACUGACGCUGAGACGCGAGAGCGUGGGUAGCAAACAG